GAACGCAAAUUGCACUCUCUGGCAUUCCGGAGAGUAUGCCUGUUUGAGGGUCGAUAAAAACAAAAAAUCGACGGCGUUGUUUUUUAACAUUGUCGGAAUUGGGUGAUCUUUGACCUCGUUUUGGUUGAAGUGACCUAAAAUUUAAACAUUUUUAUACUUUCGGUAUGAUUACGUACUUAAUAAUCUUCGUCGUAAAUACUGAUAUGUAAUAAAUUUAUUAGAUGCGACUAUUCAAUAGCUUUCGCGUCCAUAACAUUUUUUUUCAAUUAAUGACCUCAAAUCAGGUAAGAAUACCCGCUGAACUUA
rnacentral:misc_RNA from 1 species